GGGUCCGUAGCUCAGUUGGGAGAGCGCGUGAAUCGCACUCACGAGGUCAGGGGUUCGAAUCCCCUCGGAUCCACAA
rnacentral:tRNA from 1 species